UAUAAGAAGAGACUCCAGAGAGUGAACUUCCCUCCGUCCCUCUCUCUCUCUCUCUAUCUGUCUCCCACCAAACCCACCUGUCAUACAAGGACACAGCAAGAAGGCGGCAUCUACCAGCCAGGAAGAGAACCCUCGCCAGAAAUUGAAUGGUUGGCACCUUGAGCUUGGACUGGCCACCUCUAGACUGUACCAUGGACAUUGCUGUUGUUACAGCAGAGCUGCCAGCUCUGCAGGUUCACAGCAGUCUCAUCAGUAUCAGGACACGCAAAGGGAAGACAUCGUUGUUUCCUUCCAGCAGGACACAAUGAAGCCAGAAGAUUGAAAUUACAACUCAAUAAAUGUUAUGAUUUGGACAGUUAAGAAGAAGACAGAAACUAACAGAAGAUAGCAGGAGACACAUGAAGGUUUUGAAAACUUAGCU